UCAAACGAAACUUAAGUAUUUUCGAGCGGCCUGGCCGCCAGGAUUUUUUAUAUAUAUAAAAAAAAUUCCAGACUUUUCUCAUUUCUCCCAAACUCUCCCAACGUCUCCCCACUUCUCCAAACUCCUCCCAACUUCUCCAAUCUUCUCCAAACUUCUCCAAACUUCUCCCAAAUUGUCCAAACUUCUCCCCAAGGGCGUUUAUAGCAUCUCCGGCCGAUUUGAUCGAACACCUCCGGCCAUUCCUCCCCAAGGUAAUUUUCUCCCCUUCUUCUUCAACUUCAUCUUCUUCUUCAUCUUGUCCAUGUUAUAAUUUAUAUCAUCUUUUCCUAUUCUUCUACAUUUUCUAUAUAUGUAUGUAUUUGGUGGUUUAUAUAUUGGGGUUAGAUGUUAGGUUGAUUUAUUUUUUUGAUUUUGGGGGUUUGAUUUUGGGGUUUUGAUUUUGGGGUUUUGAUUAGAUCGAUAUUAAAUUGAAUUUAUAAUUAGUAACUUUUAUAUUAAGUUAAUAUGUAUCAUUAUUUACCUCUUGCUCAACUUGUCCCAACUCUCAAGCUUGCAAUUCAUUAGUACAUUAUAUUAUUUAAUUGUAGUUGAUUUUUAAAAUAUUAACUAUAUUUGACUGUAUCAUUGUCUACUGGAUUGGUUACAAUUUUUUAAUGGACGGAUUGACACCCAAAGAUUGGGUUACUAUUAUUAUUGGGUUACUAUUACUAUUAUGGUUACUAUUAUUAUUAGGUAUCCUAAUUACAUAUAUACUUAAUACAUAAUUAGGACUAUUAUUUAUAUAUGAAUCGUUAGGAUACUUUAUACUUAAUUAGGAUACAUAAUUAGGACUAUUAUUAUUAUCACCGUUAUUUUAUAUAUGAAUCGUUAAAUUGACCAAAUAUACUAAAUUUAAUUCAUAACUUACUAAGAGCUAUUGGGCUCACUUAAUUAAAUAAUAAUUUACAUUUUGUAAGUUGUAAGUCAGUUAGUGUUUUAGUAUAAUUAUUGUGACUUAAUUUAGUGUAAUUUAUUUUAAUUGACUUUAUUUUAAUUCUAUUUUAAUUUAGUGUACUGUUUUUAUUGAGUGUUAUGAUUUUAAUUUAGAUUUUGAAUAUUUAGGUUUAUGUAUAUAUGUUGGUUUUCAAUAUUUAGGUUUAAUUCAUUUUAAUUUAGUGUUUGUUUAUGUACUGUUGGUUUUGUAUUGGUAAUUCAUUUUAAUUCAUUUUGUAGUAUUUUAAUUUUAUAUGUUAAAAUUAUUUUAGGUUUAAGGUUUGUUUUGCGGAUUUACAAAUUUGUGAUUUGAAGGCCGGUGUUAGUUUUGAAG
rnacentral:lncRNA from 1 species